UGUACUUUGCGGCCAAUGGAUUUUCGUUUUGAAAUGAGAAAACCAAAAUCGGGAAACGAGCUGUUUCCCGAUUACCAUAUAGAGAUAGGAAAACAAAAAUCCGAAAAUGACCCAUUUUCCGAAUUUUGUUUUGAUAAUAGAAAACGGAAAACGGUAAAACGACCAGUUAUCUGAUUUUCUUUGAUGUGCUUAAACAUUGACAUCGGGAAUUAAAAUACUGCGUGGAAAUCUUCUUUCUCAAUUUUGCGAAGAUUUUGUGUUGUGACCCGGAAGUUCCUCUCACAAGCUUAACCGUUACAUUGCAUGGAAUGGAAAUGGAGAGCUUCAUAUUGUUUCGCGGACCCAAACGGCUGACUAUGAAGCAAGAGGACAUGUCUGCAGACAAAAUUUGCAGGAUUUUUCAGGUCAGUUGCAGCAGUCUUUAUAUCACGGACGACUCCAACACGGCAAUAUUUCCAGAGCCAGCAGGCCAUUUUUCAAUAAUUAAUCUGACUAAUCGCAGUCAUUAUGAGGUCCACGGCGAUGCAGAGCACCUUCCACCCGCUGCUGGUGCCCCUGCUUUUGGGUUCAUGCGCCGACCCUCACCGGCUUCUGCUUCUGCCACAUCUUUUUCUGCGUCUGGUUUUUCCACUGAAACACCACCACCACCACCACGAGCUGGAACUCCACGAGCUAGUGGAGCUAGCUUGUUCCAGGGAAGAUCAUUCCAAAGGUUACUUGUUAAAUAUGUAACUUGUUAAAUAUGUAACUGAUCUCUGCUGCUAAAAUCUCGUCCUAUAAUAUAUAAAUAUCAUUUUAGGCCCAUAGGUGUGAUUUUAAGACGGUCUGAUUUAUCCCCAGGUCAAUCCAUCUGGCAGAAAUUGUUAAUGAGAAACUCAGUCCUUCCAGGACAGUAGUUGUGCGCUUUUUGGAAGCUGAGGCCUGCGUUGAACGAAUUUCGGCCAAAGUUCAAGAUGCCGUGGGCUCUGAUGAGCCUAUUACCUUGACGGACACCCAAGGAAACGAAAUAAUGGACUCUGAGGGCACAAGAACCCAACCAAUGUUACAUACCCUAUUCGGAGACCGUAAGGAACCGUGUGAAAUACCCCCAAAAAGUCAAUGACCCCUUUUAAAAACAAGUGAAGUUAAUGUUUUCUGACUUCUUAGGUUCCCAGUUCUGGAAACAGAACUCAAGAAAAAUAUAUGCUGUGCCUGAAAGUGACUUUGUGGAGUUUCAGAAUGGGAGAAGAGCUAAAACAAGGUAAUACAACAUUUGAUCUGUAGGCAAAUUCAUAUAUGAACUAAAACUUCCUGAAGGAAAUACCAGUGUAAUGCAAAAGUUAAGAAAGGAAAAAGAAAGUAGAGUGGAAGAAUAAUUAUUAUUUGAACUUAAUUUGGUCUGCUUUUUUGAGUGAUGAUCAUGAAUGAAGUCAUUAUGAUUCAAUUAUAUGACAACAAUGUCUCAUAGGUUGACGCUUUUACAGAGUAAAUUAAGAUUUAUAAAAUAUUCAGAAAGAUAUUCAAACAUUUGUUCAUAUGCACCAUUUGAAAAAAAUCUUUAAUCCUUUCUUUUCUGUUCAUACAUUUAAGUCGAAGGGAUGGAGAUUCAAGCCUGCAGGAGGUCCUUGGACGUGUUGACCAGCUGAAGCAAGCCGCCGGGAGUCUCCAAGAGGUCACUAAUUCAAUCAACCAGCUGUCUCAGCUGGCCAAGUCUCAAAAGGAGGAGAUAAUGGCAAAUGUCGGUUUGCAGCCCUUAAAGGAAGCCUUUGCAUGUCUUGUGUGUAAAGCUGUAAUGGCAGAUCCCAUGUUCGCCACAUGCUGUGAAUCGAUAAUUGGAUGUCGUACCUGUGUGGAGCUGUGGUUAGUCACAUCAGACCACUGCUUGAAAUGCAGGGCAGGAGACUUUGAAAAUAAAAUACAUGAAGUGAAGGGUCUCUCUGCUGCCUUGUCACUUUUCAAGGAGAGAGAAAUUGAUUUGAUUUGAUAGAUAAUUGUUUGUUAUUGUUUGUUAUGUUUACAUUACUGGAACUACCUCAGUUUGUUUGUUGGAUGUUAUUAUGGGUACAUGACCAGAAAGAUGUUGUUUGUUGUAAUGUUUAUAUUGUGUGUGACCGUUUUAAAAAAAAAGAAAAGAAAAAAGACAACUUCCACUUUAUCAUUGUUGUAAUAAAAUGUUAUUUUUGGUAUACUGCUUCUUCAUUGACCAUUGCAGGUCACUGUGUAACAGGUCGCACAUGUCUUGAGGUGAUAUCAAUCAGAGACCUCACUGCAUUUUUAAAAGGGCCAUAGUUAUGGUUAACCACAUUUUGGAAGAGGGAUAGCAAAUCAAAGAGAGAACCAAACUCAGUUUCAGUCCAUUGUUGGGCUUCUUCAGAGGGGAAAGGAUCACUUCCAAAAAUGGAUUCUCUUUUCAAGGCUGAUCCCAUUUCCUGCUGAUACAGGUCAGCUGCAACUGCACCGACUGGCAGAAGGUCCUCAGAAAGUUUUGCAGGACACCCUUCUUUAGCCAGUUCGUUUGGUAUUCCCCUUCCUGCAAGACAGUAAAGUGAGUAGUGAGAUUAAAGGGGUUACACUUGUGGGGAGGUAAUCAUUUUGCCAAUGAUGUUUUGACUUGUUAUUUUAGUUGUCUUUCACAGCAUAUUGGAGUUGACAAUAAUGACAGCUUCAUUCAGAUGGGGGUCAUUCCUACAAAAUUCACCCAAUGUAAAUGCCCUCAAAUUAAAGAUGAAUGUCUGUGCUUUGAGCAUGUAUUCAUUUACAUUCAACUCCAAACCUGUAGAAGUCAUCUAAAAAAGCAAGAACAUGGUCAACGUCCAAAAAACUUGAUUCUAACUAAUAACAUGUUUUACUAAUUGAAUCUGCCCCUCUACAGAAAGUACUGGAUUUGCAGUGUUGCAAUUUGAGCUACACAUUUGUGAAUCCAUUUCAGAUUGAACUCUACAAUAGAACAUCAAAAUUAAUUUACACUGCUUUAUUAGCAAGUUAUGCCUGUAAUACCGCCAGUAAAAUGAAAUUAAUCAUACCUGGGAUCCUGUGUGCAUUCCAUGCCUGUACGACAUUUGUGAUGCCAAUCCUAGCCAGCUGGCAUGUCAGGUUUGACACACAAUACCUGGAUGUGUUGUCCUCCAUGUCCAGUUCCUCCUGGUCCACCAGCUGUACCAGAGCUGUCUUCAAAGGGUAGUUGACUCGAGCAUUCACCUCCGACCACAUUCUCUCUAUCACAUGGUUCUGUGCAGGUUAUAAGGAUAGUGUCAGUCUGCCUGCCCUCAUUAGAAAUACGCCUCAAUGGCAAGAAACCAGGAUUAAUUUUUAACAACACAUUUAUUUUACCCUUGUAGAAGGUGUCUGAAGGUAGGGCUGCCUUUGAGUAUUGUGUCGAUGUUCUGCCAGUUUUUCCUGGAUGAAUAAAGCCAGAUAGAAUUCUUUCCCACAGUCAACUCUGACCUGGUCCCAUAUUCCAUAGGAAAGAACAGCAGGCCUGAAGAUAAAUCACCGACAAACGUAAAAUAUACAUAAACAGCAUCAGUCUCUUAGCCAUGGCCAGCUAAAGUGACAAUUACAUUUUUUUGUCAAAAUUGGAAUGAUAUCAAUAAUAGUAAAACUGGAAAAUUAACUAAGAAACUGGAAGAGGGAAAAAGUUUUUUGUUUUUUCCAAAUUAAUUAUUUCCAUAUUACAAAUCUAGGUUUUAACCUUUUUUAAUGUACUUGUUCAAGUCUGGGUCCUCCUAAGGAGACAACUUUGGGUUCCACCUUACAAAGUCUGUGAAGUUAAUUUACCGGUACACUUCCUCAUAAAUCACGAUGUUGUUCUUUAUUGGCAUGGUGGAGUGACCGACCACCUUCUUGCUGAAACCAUCGAUAGCCAUAACAUGAGUCACUCCAAACAUAACAAGCUUCUCAUUCUGAUCUACAUGCAGCUUGUGACCCAUGUAUUCUGCAUUGUAGGGUAUGGGGUUCAGAUUCCGGGCACCCUAAAAUAUAAGAAUUCCAUUAUAAUAAAAACUCAAUAAUCUUUCAUUCGUAUGAUUAGAAUCUCAACACGUAUGUUCUAUUGAAAUGUAGAAAACACAAUGCUAUUUGACCUUACCUGCUGUCUUGCAAUGUGGUAGGGUUGAUGAAUACUUCUCAACACAUUGCCCACUCUGCCUUCAGAAGCUUUAACCCCUUUUGCGGAUAGAUAUCCAGUCAUCAUUUUUCGACCAAAAGACGAUCCAGUCUGGGGGGGUGGGGGUGUAGGUAUGAUGUUUAGCAUACAUAAUAUAUAUACAUAUUAUAAAACAAUUGGGUUCUAUCGAGUUAUUAAGCCGUUUCUGAUUGGACGAGAGACGUUCCAUGAGUUGGAAUAUCCCAGGACAUCCCAACUCGGACUUUCACAGCUAAUAAUAAAUCACUCUGCGAUGAAACAUUCUAAAGCGCGCUGAUGAUAACUGUUAGUUCUUGUAAUUCCAAACCAAGACGUUGACUGGAACUAUUUUUUGUUGCGGAGAAACAAUGGUGAAAUUAACAUUUUUUAAAUCAAUAACUUCGUGUUGAAAUGUUAAUUGGUUGAAUAUAAAAUUGUUUUAUAAAAGCAAUAUAGUACUCGUGCGAGUGGGGUAGGUAAGGGAUAUUGUUACCUGCUGUUACCUACGGCCGAACACCACCAGUGGGAAUAUCCCUUACCUACCCCACUCGCAGCCUACUAUAUUGCUUAAAUAUAUAUAUUUAAUUAUAAAUAGUAAAUCAUCUUAGUUUAAAUUUAAGAUUAAGACGUGCAUUUUUUAAAAAUACAGAAAUAUUUCCUGUUGAUUAACAACCAACGUGUUUAUGAAUUAAAUCCAAAAAUUGCAUUAGCACCAGUCAGAUGCCCGACUUUGCAUAUAACUGUGGUCAGCUUUUUAUGUAAGAGUAGCAUUCCUUUGUAUGCUUAACAAAAGCGGUAAUCGUGAAAGGCGGAUGAUAAAAAAAAACCUACCUCGAGAAUACCUUCAGCGACUUCAACUUCAAGUUGACUAUCAGGGCAGAAGUCCCUGACAAGCCCCUGCUCAGCACACCACCUCCGCACAUUCCUCUCGGAAAACCCCCGUGUAGUUCCAAACUGGGUGCAUAACGCAGUGGCGAUAUCCCCACAGGACAUUCCAUUAUUUCGGUGUUCUGAAAUAAAACCUGCAUAUUCGUGCAAUGCCAUUUUGAGGUGCGUCUCAAGGAUGUCUGGCUCCAAAUUAAAUACACCGCCAACUACUGAUAGCUUGGCUCCAAAUUAAAUACACCGCGCGCCAACUACUGAUAGCUUCCGGGUCACAACACAAAAAUAUUCGCAAAAUUGAGAAAGAAGAUUUCCACGCAGUAUUUUAAUUCCCGAUGUCCAUGUUUAAGCACAUCAAAGAAAAUCAGAUAACUGGUCGUUUUACCGUUUUCCGUUUUCUAUUAUCAAAACAAAAUUCGGAAAAUGGGUCAUUUUCGGAUUUUUGUUUUCCUAUCUCUAUAUGGUAAUCGGGAAACAGCUCGUUUCCCGAUUUUGGUUUUCUCAUUUCAAAACGAAAAUCCAUUGGCCGCAAAGUACA